CGUUUCCUUAGUAUUAGUGGCUGGGGGAGUCGGAAAACUUUAAGGAGGAAAGAGUUUGAGGGCAGCUUGGGAAGGUUGUUUUGGCUACUCAGAGACCCUUGAAAUUCCAUAUGCAUUUUAGAGUCACAUCAUCAAUUUCUGCAAAACAACCAACUGGUAUGACACAUCUAGAAGUAACAGUGGCUAUUGUGUGGAGAAUAUGUUACAGAGAAACCAGAUUUUCUUAUUCAAGCAAGCACAACGGGGUUUGUUCUCUCUCUGCCUGCUCUCGCUUUUGAAAAUGCCCAUCACCUGAUGAACUGCAACUAUGAAUGAAGAUGCUUAUUAAAUAAAGUAAUAUAUAUUUAGAAUA